CCUACGUGGGGCUGCAGUGAGGAAUAUUGGUCAAUGGGCGGGAGCCUGAACCAGCCAAGUCGCGUGAGGGAAGAAGGUACUGCGUAUUGUAAACCUCUUUUGCCAGGGGACAAAGGCGGCCACGGGUGGCCGUAAGAGGGUACCUGGAGAAAAAGCAUCGGCUAACUCCGUGCCAGCAGCCGCGGUAAUACGGAGGAUGCGAGCGUUAUCCGGAUUUACUGGGUGUAAAGGGCGUGUAGCCGGGCUGACAAGUCAGAUGUGAAAGCCUGGGGCUCAACCCCCGAACUGCAUUUGAAACUGUUGGUCUUGAGUAUCGGAGAGGCAGGCGGAAUUCGUAGUGUAGCGGUGAAAUGCGUAGAUAUUAGGAGGAACACCAGUGGCGAAGGCGGCCUGCUGGACGACAACUGACGGUGAGGCGCGAAAGCGUGGGGAGCAAACAGGAUUAGAUACCCGAGUAGUC
rnacentral:rRNA from 1 species